UGAGCCACCUCUCCAGUAGUGUACACAGCCACCAGUGCAGUGAGCCACCUCUCCAGUAGUGUACACAGCCACCAGUGCAGUGAGCCACCUCUCCAGUAGUGUACACAGCCACCACUGCAGUGAGCCACCUCUCCAGUAGUGUACACAGCCACCAGUGCAUCAAAUGUAGACAGUGAGUCCGGCAUUAAGUCAGUCAUCAAUCGAUCAGUCCAGUAGCCUACCAGUCAAAUCUGCUAUCAACUAAUCAAAUGUACACAUGGACUUGGCCAUCAGUCAGCCACUAGUCACCAGUCAUCAGUCCAGUAACUAGUCACCAGUCCAGUUACCAGUCAUCAGUCCAGUUACCAGUCAUCAGUCCAGUAACUAGU